UGGGGCUGGGCCUGAGGGAAACGACCAAGGAAUUAAGUGACUACCCAGGGUCUGCAGGUGGGCAGAAGAGAAUGGCCAGCUCCAGACUGCAGUUCCUGUUCUUCCUCUGAACCAGGAUUAAGAAGCAUGGGGAGUUUGGGACUUCAGCUUUACCAACCUGUGAACAGGUGAUGCAUCUCACCCACUCUGAUGCUGCUGACAGAAUCCAGGCUAAAGAAGUUUCGAAAGAGAUUAGUCUGUUCUUGUACUUAAAGACAAGGUGAAGAACAAGAGAGAUGGUGGAAACUCAUUUAUACCUUAAGUUUUUACUCAAAACUGUUCCAUUGUCAAAGCAAGUCUAGGCCCAAGUCCAAAGUCAAAGUUUUGACAUGAAUUAAAGGAAAUAAAUUGCUGUCUGCUACCUUGAUUUUUAAAAUUCAUUUUCCUUCUGCAGUCAAAAUGUAUUUAUUCCUAGCUAUAAGAUAGUAACCUUGAUUAUUUUGUUUCAAUCUUGUCAUCUAGCUUAAAAUUUGGGGUUUCAUGAUGGUCUUUCUCCCAGAUGAGGAUCUAGAGAUCUAUCAAAAAGGCAUUUCUCUCAAAUACAUGAUCAAGGGAUAGUGAACAGUAAAUUCAACCCUUGGAAAAAAAAUAAGAAAUGUUACUUGAUUAGACCUUAUUUUGCUAGGUCUACUAUUUUCCCAGGUGCUGAUAUCUUCUCUCUGAAAGAACAGUCAUUUCUGUUAUCCAUCUUAGCCUUAUCACAGAAAUGUAUUGUAUAACAUGCAUCUUGGGAGCUGAUCUUGCUUAGAUGGCUCCCCUCCUUCUAGAGAUCUGGGGUCUGGAAGUUGUUUCACACCUUAAUACUCACAAACUCUUUCAAGCCAACUAUUGGAACUUGUGGCAUUAAAACAGUGGGGUUUUAAAAAUGAUUUUAUUUCAAUCAGAAAUGUGGCAACAGAGCAAUUAGACAAACCAAAGAAAUUAAAGGGAUACGAAUUGGAAAA